AUCCAGCUGACGAGUCCCCAAAUUAGGACGAAACGCGCGUCCUGGAU
rnacentral:hammerhead_ribozyme from 1 species